UACGUAGGGAGCAAGCGUUGUCCGGAAUCAUUGGGCGUAAAGCGCGCGUAGGCGGCCCCGUAAGUCCGCUGUGAAAGUCAAAGGCUCAACCUUUGAAAGCCGGUGGAUACUGUGGGGCUAGAGUCCGGAAGAGGCGAGUGGAAUUCCUGGCGUAGCGGUGGAAUGCGCAGAUAUCAGGAGGAACACCAAUAGCGAAGGCAGCUCGCUGGGACGGUACUGACGCUAAGGCGCGAAAGCGUGGGGAGCGAACAGG
rnacentral:rRNA from 1 species